rfam:Bombyx mori DNA, contig: Bm_scaf74_contig31715, strain: p50T/Dazao, build 2, whole genome shotgun sequence.
GUAACUAUCGGAUCGUCGCGUCGAUCUACCGAGCAACAUCACCUGCUCGGUGGAAGAUCUUCCUUUGUCGU